GACGAACGCUGGCGGCGUGGAUUAGGCAUGCAAGUCGAACGGUAUCAUCCUUUCGGGGGUGAGAGAGUGGCGAACUGGUGAGUAACACGUAGGUUAUCUACCCUCAAGACGGGGACAACCCAGGGAAACUUGGGCUAAUACCGGAUGUGAGCAACUUUUAGUUGUUUGAAAGGUGGCGUAAGCUGUCGCUUGGGGAUGAGCCUGCGUCCUAUUAGUUAGUUGGUGAGGUAACGGCUCACCUAGGCAAUGAUAGGUAGGCGGCCUUAACGGGUGGUCGCCCACACUGGGAUUGAGAUACGGCCCAGACUCCUACGGGAGGCAGGCAGUCGAGAAUAGUCUACAAUGGUCGGAAGACUGAUAGUGCGACGCCGCGUGAACGAUGAAUCCCUUCGGGGUGUAAAGUUCUUUUAUAUGUGAGCAGUGCUUCUUAUAUUAACAGUAUGGGGAGAGAGAUAUUAGCAUAUGAAUAAGCAACGGCUAACUCCGUGCCAGCAGCCGCGGUAAACUCG
rnacentral:rRNA from 1 species